CCAUACGAAGAAUCAUACAACUCAGCUGCCGACAUGAGUCCUCAAUUGAAUCCCCAUCUAACACUAACCCCAUUCUCCAUACGAAUUUAAUUCGUAUUUAUAAUUCUCUUCUGGAUCUGUACCAAUUGAUAGUACAAUUCAUACACAGCAAUCUUGCUGUAAACUUUCCAAUCAUCAGAUUGAUUCCUUCUGGCUGUCAUAGCCUUAUCAGAUCACGGGGUGAUCUCAUCGUAUAUAUUACGAUUUAGUUCUAUAUCUUGAUCGUUUUAUUUUACGAUCUCUCAUAACUGCACUUUCAGUCUUUUAGACUCAAUCUAUUCCCCACUACUGUUUAACUUUAUAAUCAGAGUUAGGGAACUCUGUGUCUUUACACUCGCCGAGAUUCAUCUUUGAAUCUUAUCGACCAACUAACUCUAUAUGAGUUAAUACUUAUCCUAAUCAUUGCGGUUAUUAGUCUCAGGUAUUCCUACCUAAGCUUCAUAACCAACAGCUUUGAUACCAACCUGUGACGACCCCAAAUCCAGGUACUUGAAACCCGAACUCGGUUCUCCACGAUACCAUUUCUUUAAGCUGAAUAAUACUAAAUAAUAAUACAUUCGAACUUAAUUUACAUACAUCAAAGUUUACUUCCCCAGGUACGUGACCUUCAAAUACAUUCCUUACAAUACUUGAAUAGAUACCAAUACAACUAUAACCAUUAACUCAUAAUACACACUUAUUCGAUCAGCUUUCCUUUUCCUUUGUUCGUGCCUGAGCCUUCAGGUUGCUCAUACAUAACUGAAAACAUUUAAUUUAAGCAAGGAUGAGCAUUUAAGUGCCCAGCAAGUAAUAGCAAUUAUAUAUAAGCUGAAAGAAUAUAAGUAUUCUCUUUACAUAACACUUCUACAACGAAUUGAAAGUUGUGAAGUAAUCUGUACUGAUAAAAAAUUCACAUAACAACUCUCUUUCAAAUUCUUUAAAUUUGGCUCUGGCUCUACCCUUGAAUAGGGUUUAAGAAACAUACUAUGAACAUUCUUUUCAUUUUCGAAAAGGUUUAGCGGAAUUCCAUCCUCAAACCGUCAUAACUUACGGGCACGGAGGGUGAUCAGCCCCGUUGUACCCUGUAUUGAUCAAUACUACAUAACUUGAACGAAAUUCAUCGCUCACUCUAUCCGCCUUGGGCGCAAAAAUCUUCCCAUAUAGGGAUGUUCAUACAUGCCUGGUUCCAAACCCGAAGGUUUUUAAUCUUGCUCAACAAUAAUAUGUAAUUCAACAUAUAUGUAUACGGGUAAUUGACAAAGGUAUAUCAACAUGUGAAUAAAUGCCAUGAUUAUCCAAGUGGGGACACUUGUAUAACCAUUUAGAAAUCAACUUAACAGAAUAUAUAUCUGAGCUAACAUGUUGAUAAUCAAAGCGUACAUAAUCUGUACAGGAAUAGAAUAAUUCUGAAACUUCUUACUCAUGUCCAUUGCAUAAAGGAAAUGCAAAGGUAGGAUACUUGCCUGAUUCGCUGAUUACAAAUCUCAACUUAGGUUUUAUCUCUUUAUCACAACCUAUCAAUAAUCAGAUCAUUCGUUCGAUUAGAACAAUAUAUCUUAACACAUAGUACUGUCUAUUACAGUCAGCACAUAGUCUAAUCACAUAAUCACAGUGAUCAUACUUUUAGUUCCUAUUCUAUACUUGAAAUAUUUUUAUACAUUUUUCAAAUAUCUCAUCCAUGCUCUUACAGUAGUCUUUUCUUUCUUUUAUAAGGUCUGACAUUUGUCGGCGUACCGACAGCUUUAUCGGGUAAAUACUGAGUCUAAGACUCUUAUUCUAUACCUCAACAUCUGUAAAUAUCAGACAUCUUAUUUUUAAUCAUUUUCGCAAUUUCCAGAAAUUGAAAAAUUUAAAAUAAUUCAAAUCUGUCACUAAAGGGCCUAUAGUGAUAUAACUGUUACUAUAGGUGUUCUUCUUCAAAUUCAGAACUUCAUAAUCGGUUCUCAAGUCAGCUAGUUUGGCCGGCUAUAACUUUCAAAUAUCGGAAUCAUAAUUAAAUGAUUUAAACAUUAAACAAUUCCAUUAUCAUUAAUAGUUUAAUUAAUACUAAACUAUUAAUGAAACCAUUGCCAAAAUAUAAAAGUUAUUUAUAAUAACUCAAACUAUUUUUAAAACAUUUAUAUUACCCAAAUAAUUACCAUUAAUAUUUAAAUAUUAAUGUACUAUUUAUCCAAAUAUUAAAAGUCAUUAAUUAUAACUUAAAAUAUUUUUAAAUCCUUAAUAUCCUCUUUAAAUGGUUUUUAAAUAAGUAAAACCAUUUUUAAACUAUUUAUUUAAUAUUAAUCAUUAAAUAAACUAAAUAUCAUUAAUAUUAUCUUAAUAUCAUUAAUAUUUAAUUAUUAAUGAAAUUAUCAUUUAAAUAUUAAAAGUUAUAUUUUAUAACUUAAAAUAUUUUUAAAUACCUUAUUUUCAUUUAAAAUGAUUUUUAUAAUAUUAAAAUCAUUUUUAAACUAAAUUAUUUAAUAUAAUCAUUAAAUAACUUUAAUAUCAUUAAUAAUUAUUAAUUAAUGAAAUUCAUCACAAAAUAUUAAAAGUCAUCACAAAUAACUCAUUUACAUAAUCAAUUCCAAGCCAAAAUAAACAUAGUAAACUAACUAGUUUAUUAACAACACUAACUAAACUUCAAAAAUUCAAACUUUAACUAACAAUUAAAAAUAAUAACAUUACAAAAAUUAAAUAAGAAACAUACCCGGAAAUACGAAUUCCACAGACUGAAUACGCACUUCCACGCCAAAAUUUAACUAAGGAGAUCUUUAUAAAAAGUUCUCCCACAACAAAGCCUUUCUCAAAAAUUGGAGGCCUUAUUGUUGGUGAAUGAAACAAAGGCCAAGCCCUUCUAUUUAUAGGUUUAGAAAAUGGUGAAGUUCUCAAUUUAGUCGAUGUGGGACUUGGUUUAUACUAAUUUUUCAAUAGCUCACUUUGCGAUUUUCUAACGCAUUGCUCAUAACUCCGAUUAAUCUGAUUUUUGGAUAUGUUAUACAUGGUAUGUAAGACUAUUUUUAAAAAAUACGAAUUACCCAAUUCGGGUUCAUUAGGUAGCCCAAACAGUGCGUCAAAAGUGGACGUUCAUAACAGUUUUCAAUCUCGUUUCAGCUUUACCCUCUUUCGCUAAAACAGUCAUAACUCUUUCAUUUUAAAACAUUUUUGAGCGAUUCUUGAGCCCACGCGAAGCUAACUUCUGGGGCUACAACUUUUAUUCUUUGACCAUUUCCAAAUUCCGAACACAUCAGCCCAGAAAUUCCGUUCAAAUGGACUGCACCGCACUUGUUGGGAAGUUUUGACACUACUACUUUGAAAUGUCAUAACUCUCUCCUCCGAUAUCGGAUUUAGUCCGUUUCGGAGUCUAUGGAAAGCUUAUUCGGUGUACUAUAACAUACCAAAAGCCCAGAAGGUUUUGGAAACAUUAACUGAUCGAAACAGUGUCCCGAAUAGCACAUCCCGCUGCUGACUUUCAGUUUUGAGAAAUUUGACACAUUUCCUUCCAAUCACCGUAAUUCCCUCAUCCGAGGUCGGAAUGAGGUCAUUCCAAAGCCUAUGGCUUCCUAACUCAGUGCACUACAACAUAUCAAAAGCCCAGACCUUUUAAAGCACAAAAAGUGGACGAGAAUGCCCCCAUUACAGACUGCCCAAAAACAGUUUAUCAUGAUCGGUCAACCAUGUUUGACCAUCUAUAACUUCUAAUCUAUACAUGAUAUGGACUUGAUUCUUUUUGCAGAUUAAAGACCACAUAUCAGGCUACACAUAACAACUUUUGAAGAACAAAACUCAUGAUCGAGCAAAGAGUUAUGGCCUCUGACAUUUGGGGAAAAAAAUAACAGAAUUCGGUUUUUCCAACUUGCUUAAAUCUUCAAAUUCGUGCACUUUGAUGUUAUGGGUCUUUGAUUUAUCAACCCAUAUCAUCAAUUAACAUUCUAUUACACAACUUUAAACAAUCAAUUGCAUCAAAUAACAUCGAAUCAAAGGAUUUCUAGGUUUAGUGUUCUUAUACCCUUUUUGCCAAAAAUUCUUGAUUCUUGCUUCUGAUUUGUUAUGGGUGAUGGUUGGGCUUUGUUUAAGAGUGUAUGGGCAAUCUUGUACAAGGCAAUUAAAUGUAAUAUUUAAUCACUAGAUUUAAUUCUUAUAAUUUACCAAUUAACUUCUAUCCUUUGGUAAAUUAAAACACUUAUACAAUAACAUCGAAAUUAAACCCGGUAAUUAAAAUUAGGGUUUCUCAACGUCAUCAAUUAGGGUUUCUAAUUGACCAUUAGUGGUUCUUUAAUUAUCUGUGUAUGUUACUAACACAGUCGUUACGGUUUCUAAUUUCAACCGGUUAGGGUUAUAAUAAUUAGGGUUUGUCCUAAUUAUCGACGUACAACAGUAAUUAGGGUUUCUUCUAAUUACCGAUAUUCUUAUUCACAGUAACUUCAUAUACACAGUCACUACUCAGAAAUAUCCCAUAACUGAGUUUAAUAAUUAGGGUUUCACAGCACGGUAAUAUGCUAUGACCUAAUUGACCGUCAUUGCUCAAUAUUAUCUGUCCGCACAUACCCAGUACAUAAUUAUGGUACUGUAAAAUCAUUAUAUAAAUAAUAUAAUAUUAUUAUUCUCAUCUCUUGAUCACAAUCCCAAUCCAGGGUUUGGAUCUCAUGUCUGACUUAUUCUUCGUACACAGCAUCAAUAAUCAAGUUAAAAUAAUUAACUUAAAUAUUCUGAACAAUUCAUAUAAUAAAAUAUUUAUUAUAUAAAUCUAAUUAUCACUUCAUAUAUUAUUUCCAAUCAUGUUUUCAUGGAAAAUAAUUAAUAAAAACAUUUCGGCUUACAGAAAUUUAUUACCAUAUAAUUUGUGGUAAUUAAUAAUUCCAAAAUUAUUUCUAAUUUUUCAAGUAAUAAAUGUAUUCGCAUUUAUCGUUCACUUUACUUGACACUUAGUCUCGUCAUUAAAAAAAAAAAAAAUUUAUACGCAAAAUUUCUUAUUUAUUUUAUAUAGAAAAUCUCGGGUUAUUACAUUCACCCUCCCUUAUAAGGAUUCCGUCCCCGGAAUCACCGCUUUAAAAACUCAUAUGCAGAAGGGUACAUAGCAUAUAAUCAUUGUACGUAGAUCUCGAUCAUACUUGAUCGAACUGAUCUUUAAUUAUUCAUCAUAACACUUGUCUAUCCGAUUAAGCAGAAAUAUAAGAUAUAUAAGUUAUUCAAAUAGCACCUGGAGUUCUGUUUCCAGCUGCCACCGUAUCCUGGACCGUCAUGUUGUAAACCCUCGGAGUUGCUUUCGUUGGGUUACUGGUUGAGUUUGGUCCUGAAAUUGCUAACGUCCCACUGCUUCUCCCCGUGGUUACGUUCCCUGCCUCCAUUCCCCUCUGUGGACAGUUCCUCACCUUAUGCUCAGUCGAUCCACAUAUGAAGCAUCCACUGAUCAUCCUUGAGUUGGGGCAGUUGGGAGAGAUAUGACCCUCUUGCCCGCACUUGUAGCAUACAAACUUGCCCUUCAGACACUCGCCAGAGUGAUUCUUCCCGCAGUUCUUGCACUGCACUACCUGCUUCUUUAUACCUUCCUGCUUUACUUGCAUUUUCUCAGAAAAAUUCCUCAUUCUUUUCUCACCCCUAUUCCCACUACUACUUUCUAUCUUUACUGUUCCUCCUGACUUGCUUUUGUUCUUCUUCUCCUUAUGGUAGAGGCUCAUGGCCUCACUUCCCUGUUCAGCAAUGAUAGCCUUCUCCAUGAGUGCUGCAAAAGUAUUGAUUUGCAGUACUGACACCUUAUUGUAGAGCCAGGGUUUUAAGCCCAGCUCAAAUCUCCUUGCCUUCCUAGCCUCUGUAUCCACUUGAUGUGGAGCAAACCUAGCCAACUCAUUAAAUUUUGCGGCAUACUCCGCAACAGUCAUGUUAUCCUGCUUUAACUCCAGGAAUCUCACCUCCAUUCUAGACUGCAUACUAACAGAGAGAUAGUUUUCGAAAAAUAAAUCCUUAAACCUAUCCCAAGUAAUUUCUUCUUCUCCUGCCCGAGUCUUAUUUGCCUCCCACCAAAAGUUAGCUUCCCCUUUCAUCAUAUAAGUGGCAAAAGCGGUCUUUUGCCCCUCAUCUACUUUAGCGAUUACGAACGCCUUCUCUAUCUCGUUCACCCAAGUCUGGGCUUCUAUAGGGUCAGCUGAUCCUCUGAAUUCUGGUGGUCCUACGGCUUUGAAGUCUUUGAAUUUUGCCAAGCGAUUGUCUGGCUGGUUUCCCGCAACUGGUGUUCCCUGCUGCAUAGCCUGAGCUACCAUGUUUGCAAAGUUUUGCAUCAGUUCUGGCUGUCGUUCCCCAGCAUUAGUAGAUUCUUCUAUCCUUUGGUUUCGAGUUUGACGUCUUGGCGGCAUUAUCUGGUUAAAUAAAACCAUAAAUUAUACCCUUACAUUUUAAACCUUAUUGCAUAAGAUUAAUGUAUUAAACUCGUUUCAUUUCUCAAACUUAGAUUCAUAUUCAUUUAUCGAAUAUUUACACAGCACAUCCUGCUUUAAUCAACAGCUAUCCCUUUGUGACUACGAAAGUCGGGAUUUAAAAUCUUAACCAACAUAAAAGUUAAAAAUAGUUCAUUACUUAUCACACAUAUUACAUACAUAACCCAUACUACUUAUUUACCAAGCCUUUUUCUCGGACAUUCAUUCGCUCGAUGUCCUUCCAUCCCACAAUUAAAACAUCCACCUUUCUUAUAGUCGGGGCAACGAGGAGAGGUGUGUCCUUCACGGAUGUGUCGCUUGAGGCUCCAUCUGGUCAAUUUGGAUUUUGAGCUUAUCCUGCUCUUCCAUUGUUUCCAUUAACGCCUGACGCAUCAACUUUUCUAUCUCCCACAACCUUUCCAAUGAAGAAACCUUGUUCUCCAAAUCCUGCACCUCCGUUGAUGCUUGAGCAGCUUCAACUUUAGUGUCUGAAUCACUAUCUGUCAAAUCCAACAUUUCUGGAUCUGAUGCUACGUUUUUCCACGAUAGCCACCUCGUCCGAUUUGGGUUCCUAGUGAGCUUCUAUUUCAUCUGUUGGCCUCGAUAUUAGCUCGGGGUGUGAAUAUGAUCCUUCUUAUUCCACAUAUCUUUCUCACCAGACAUCUACAUACAUAAGUUACCCUGAUUAACAUAUAGUAUAUAUACACAGCAAUCAAGAGUUCUAUAUACGUUGUCUCUUAUUUUGAUUGACGAUAAAUUUAUUCAAUUCUCAUCAACGCCUAUCUCUGCCGAAAGGCAGCUCCAUCCACUCUGCAUCGAAUCGCAUGAAGGUGAUGACUAAAGCCUGGUCCAAGGUAUAUAUCUGGUGUCUUUGGCUUCUAUUUCAACCUUCAACUGUCUUAUCUGAAUAUCUCCCUCUGCUCCAACCUCCCUCAUAACUCGGCUAACUCUAUCUGUGCUUACAACAUUCACACAUAUCAUCACAUGCUACCCAAUACACCUCUCACAAGAGUAAAAGUUUUCAAAUUGUGCUGAGGGGUCAUAUAGACCAUGAACACAUAGUUUUAACGGUAUUCAUACCGCAAAACAAAACAUUACCUGGUAUGUUUACAAUCACAAAGAAGGUAAACUACCAUUAAUAGUACUUUAGGUGAUUAGCCUAUUGUACCCCUACGUCAUGCAUAACGUAUUAAUCAUACCUAGCGAAUAUUUACGCCAUUAGAUUGGAUCAUUUAUCCAAACAACAUUGUUCACCUCAGUCUUAUCAUAGGAUUCCGCACCAAACAAUUUGGUUCGGGAAAUUUCUUUCAAUGAACACUUAGAGUUUUCAUAAACAUUAGUCUAGCUGAUUCAAAUAGCAUAGACUCAUAUCAAUAAUUCAAUUCAAUCGAAUUAUUUAGAUGUAGCCAAACCCCGUUGGCAAAUUAAACUUUUUGAAAACAUUUUCGAGAAUGACGUCAUGAUGCCGUACUGUAUUAACAAUCCGUUGAGGAUGCCGUCAUUGUAUGACUUUGUCAUAACACAUCAUACAAUAGUGGAACAGCGACUUCAGGUCAAAUUCACACUAAGUAUUCCUGUAUUUACAACUCCAUCACAUUUUUAUCAUCUCUGCACCAGGUUACAUGGUACAUGAGUGAUAAUUAAAAACAAAUUUUGAUAUUUCAAAUCAUUUGCGUCUAGCCAAAAUAAGUAGCAUAGACCGUACUUUAAACCGUUUCAAAAAUGAUUACGAGUCUACAUUUUUGUUUUCAAAAGCACAUAGUGCGUAUUUAGCUUGAUGUCAAAAAUUUUGAAGUUUAGCAUAGCUAGGAGUUUAGGAAAACCUAACACCUUCACUAAAAAUCAUUUACUUAACAAUCUAUCUGUUCCUGUAAUCCAUAACACUCCAUUCACACAAAACUAUACCCAGUUCAUCAAACCACACUUAUGAGUUCAUAAAUUGCCACAAUCAUAUGAGUUUAAGAACUUAUCCUAGUCAGACCUUUGGCGUCCAUUCGCUGAGGGGUUCAUAAACAUUUCAUAUAAUUAUGAGUCAAGAAUGUCUCAUAGGUAUGAGUUUUAAGAACUCGAACUUAAUCUUAUAUUCUCUAUCUAUGACCUAUCUACCUGUUAUACACAUGAGAAAGGAAUCACCCUCUGAACAUGCAUAUAACAAAUAGCGCGACAUAAACAUUUCAAUGAUUAUCAGUGCCAGAAACUAAGUGGUUUUUACACCAAGUACAAUUCAGCUCCCAUACGAAGAAUCAUACAACUCAGCUGCCGACAUGAGUCCUCAAUUGAAUCCCCACCUAACACUAACCCCUUCUCCAUACGAAUUUAAUUCGUAUUUAUAAUUCUCUUCUGGAUCUGUACCAAUUUAUAGUACAAUUCAUACACAGCAAUCUUGCUGUAAACUUUUCAUCAUUCUCUGGAUCUUUCUUCAUACCAUAACCUUAUCAGAUCACGGAGUGAUCUCAUCGUAUAUAUUACGAUUCAUUGCUAUUCUGUGAUCGUUUUGUUUUACGAUCUCCCAUCCUUACACUUGUAAUCUCUUAGACUCUAUCUAUCCACUUCCUAUACUUGGUACACAUCGAGUCUCUAACAGUUUUCAAUAUGGUACGCUGAGUGGUUUCCCACAAACAACCAACAAACUAGGUUCCGAGUUGCUAGUUCGUAUAUACCUCCGCUCUAUGAAGGAAUCGUUUAGCCCAGAUACCAUACAUCAACUAGUUUCGAGUACAAUGGUACCAUACUUAAACCUAACUUUCUGACCCUGCGAGAUUCUUCAACUAACUCUAUGUGAGUUAGUACUUAUCCUAAUCACUGCGGUUAUUGGUCUAAGGUAUUGCUACCUAAGCUUCAUAACCAACAGCUUUGAUACCAACUGUAGCGUCCCCCAAAUCCGGGUCCCGAAUCGCCGCGGAUCCGGUUUGCUAUUUCUACAACUGUUGCGGAAGAUAUAAACAUAAAUUGUUUAUACAUUAAACUUUACACACUAUUCCCAAAAUCGAGUAACCUUAACUAAUACACAAUCGUGAACUGUCUAACACAUGACAAUACUAUUCUUCAACAUACUUUACAACUUAACUUCACAUUCUAUCCCAAGCUGAACUUGGCAUUAUCCUUUUCCUGUAUCUGGCCGUAUUCGCCUUAUCUGCAAUGUUUUAUCAUGAUAUAGCAAGGGUGAGCAUGAAAGUUGCCCAGCAAGUUUAAAAAAAACAAGGUAAAGAUAUAUCAUGAUUGAAAGAGUUUGAAUAAUAAGCUGGCUAUCCUUCACAAUGUAGUUGUGAAUUAGCAUGAACAAAAUUUCAAAGCUGAAUGAACAUUGAAAAUGAACAUAACAAUUAUAUCUGAACUGACUGGUAAUGAAGGUGAUCAGCCUUUCAUACCUGAUGAAUACAUGCAAUAUGUACAGAGUACAAUUCAUAAGCAUAUCUGUCUGAAACCACUCUUAAAAGAGUUUAAGUAAAAAGAACUUGAAAAACUUGCCUGAACCGUUGAUUACCGUAACGCAAUAUAAUACGCUUCUCCUGAAGACCUAAUAUUAAUAAUAUAGAUCUCCAAUAUUAGAAUAAUAUCAUCAUUGUUAUAAAAUAACUUAAACAUAUUUCCACAUACUCCUAUCAGUCUAUACAGCAUAUAAAACCUAUAAUAGAUCUUUCGGUUAGUCAUAACAUAUAGUUAAGUAUUAGACAUUAGUUUUAAGUCUUAAUAUUAUUAUUAUACUUUGAUAUUCUUUUAAUCACAUCAUAACUUAUACUUAUAAGUUAUUCAUUUUUAUAUGUUAUCCUAGUAAAUUAGAUAACAUCUUAGUAAACCGAAAUACCAUUUCAGUAAGACGGAUUUUAUUUCAGUAUCCCGAAAUCACUAUUCUUUUUCACGAAAAAUACCAAAUCAACUUAUUAUUUUUUUAUCCUUUGGUCAAACAUAUAUACAUGUAUUUCAUACAUAAAAAAUAUUUUUCCAUAAUUUUUCAAUUUCUUUUACUAUUUUUCAAAAAUCAUAAAUAGUGCGUGACUUAAGAAAAUUAGCUACCUCGUGCUUAACUCCAGAGAUGCCCAUCUUUUGACAUAACCUUAUAUAUGUUAACGUGAUGCUCCAUUUUAAAUUUCGUGGCAAUCGGAGUUGUAGAACUCUGGUUAUAGCGAUUUCCGUCGGAAAAUCACAAAAAUUAGAAUAGUCAUAACUUGGCCGUUUUAACUCGGAAUUAGCUCAUUUUUGGACACGAGCUACAUAAUACCACAUAUUUUCAUUUCCCGAAAGCCCGGAAUUUUUCUCACAAAAUAAAUUACCGAAACAGCCUCCGGAAAAUUUUUGGCAGUUUACUUUUGCACAUAUGCAGUUUUGGAGUCCUUUACCAAAACUUAAAUAAAAUGAAAUCUAUAACUCCGAUUAAUGAUCCGUCAAUUUUGUUGGAUUCCUAUCUUUCCGAACUACAGUUUUCAUCUAUCACAAUCCAUAUUUGGACAUGUUAAGCUCCCAGAAAUUAGCCCGGAAGUGGCUGUUCAAAACUGUCCUUCUAACAGUUUUCUUAACUUUGAGUAGUUUGGGAGAAAUUUCAUAACUCUCUCCUCCGAUGUCGGAUUUAGUCCGUUUCGGAGUCUAUGGAAAGCUUAUUGAGUGUACUACAACAUAUCAAAAGUCCAGAAUUUUUAGACCAUCCAAACAAAUUCGGAAUUUACUGUUUAGGGGCAGCAGUUACCAAUUCAUUUUAAAAAAAACUGUUUUGCUUUUCUUUCUCUUGAUCAAGCUUGUCGACCCUAAAAAUGGCAUGAUCUAACCAUAAAACAUCAUAUAUCAUGUAGAUCUAUAGUUCUCAUGUUCAGGAUCAUAAACUUCAUGGUUCAAAAUAACCAAAAAUCAAAUACAAGAUUAAACACAUUCAAGAGUAAGAAAAAUAAGAUUUCCUACACCUUAAAAACCUAGCUUCACUUUUCUUGCUUUUGAUCUAUCUUUUGAAACAUAAAAUAGAUAGAUCCACACAUAAAACACUCUAAAUCAUGUAGAUCUAGAGUUUUGAAGAUCAAAACUCAUUAUUUUGACAAAAAUCAAACACAUAAACUAAUUAGAGUUUUGUGUUUAAGAAUUCUUAUACCUUGCUUUGAUUUUCUUUCUUCUUCAAAGAUAUGAGAUGGAUCUUGGGGUGUUGUUCUUGGCUUGCUACAUGAUAAUCCUAGCUCAUCUUCUCUCUCUCUUUUCUCUCUCUCUCUCUCUCUCUCUAAACUUAGCCAAUUUGGCUAAAAUGAAUAUAAGUAAAUUUUGAUUUUGCUUAUAUAGAAGUUACUUUCAAUUUUUUAUAAGUUAGUCACCCAACUUAAAUCUUCUCUAGUCUUCCCCCUAGUCUUUAAAAGCUUGCAAAUCACCCCUUGGCAUAUUCUUAGCAUAUUCUCAGAAUAUUCUUUAUUCCUUAGCAUAUUCCUUAAG
rnacentral:lncRNA from 1 species